rnacentral:lncRNA from 1 species
UGUGCCAUUGCACGCCAGUCUGGGCAAUAAGAGCGAAACUCCGUGUCAAAAAAAAAAAAAAAAAAAGAUUGUCACAACUUUUCUUAAAAUAGCAAAUAGUCAUGGGCUCAGAAGGUGCCAGGAACCCAGGGUCCUUCUAGGAUCUCACUUGAAUCAGACUCAAAUUUGGCUUCCACUGCACUGUCCACAAUGACUAAUUCAGCUCCAUCAUAGAGAGGAACUCAUCUUACUGCCACCAGCUCUACCAGCCUAACAGCUGUGGGGCUUUCCUAGAUCUCGGCUUUGCCUGAGGUUUCAGAAGAUGGCAUGUCCUUUUUCCUAUCAAAGGUCAACCAAGCAUUUCUGCUCUGCUCCUAUCACCUGUCUCCUCA